UGUGCUGCUUUAGAUUUGACAGGCAAGACGCACAGUAAGAAAAGUUGUUGAAGAAUAUGUUGAUAAACUCAGCUUUUCAAAAAUUGUGGCUAAUUAUGAUUUAACAAAAGAAGAAAUUUCACUUUUUCUGCAACAAAAAGUGAAACAGUUUGAAAAUUGCUGUCUGUGUUUACUCAGGUUGUAUUUGUCAAAUAAAAUCUGUUAGAUAUGAAAUAUUGAAGUAUUAAAAAGAAGAGAAAAUCUUUAAUGAUUUAGAGAUGCUUUUACAAAGCAACAUGCUAUGUCCCUGCUCUGCCUUAGUAUAAAUAAAAAAGGACAGAAAGGAAAAAGUUAUAUAUUGAUUUUUUUAUUAAAAUGAAAAACUUAGUUUUUUAUAAAUUGUUUUGCUACUUAAACCACUUUUUUUCUGGAAUAAAUUACCAACAAUUCUAUUUGAGAUACUCCGGUGUGUAAUUUUUUUUAAAGUACAAGUUUCAUCUGUUAAAGAACAAAUACUCAGGAUGUCUUUUUUUGUUUUAGUUAGGACUUGUUGUCAAAUGUUGUUUCUUUCUCCGUUUACGACGUAGCAGUGAGCUACAUGCUUCUAUAAAAUGUAAGCGUCCACAUUUGCCUCCCAUCCAGGCCCUCCUACUGUCGAUAACAGAAUUUACUGCGCCUCCCCCACCAAAAUCAAUUUCUACACUCUGCGCAGUAUUGAGCCGGGUUCUGCUGGAGGUGUCUUCCAGUUUAAGGAGAGUUUUUCCAUUCCACUGUCACCACUUGCAUGACGGACCACUUUAAAGUCAACAACUCAAUGCAAGCGGUUUCCUGCUGUUGCUACGUGCUCAUCCAGGAGGAGUGAAUGAUGAAAAUCAAUAACUCGAUACCAUCUGCCAAAUUAACCUUGCUGUAUUGUUUAACUAGAAUCAAUUGAAAUGUAUCUGUGAUAGAAUUGAAAUGAUUGAUGUGCUUUUUGUGUUGCAGAUGCUGCCAUAUCACAGUGCAAUUGGAGCUAUCUGAACAUUGCACUGAUCAGAUGGAAAUAACGAAAUGAGUUGGUCCUUUCUGAUCAAAUAAAAACAUAAAUUUCUUCUUUUUGUAAGCAGAACGAGCAAUGUAAAACAGGCAACUAGCAAUAUACUGCUAAAAUCGGAGUCUGUAGCAUAUUUUAUGUCACAUGGCUGCAGGUGGGAUGGGAACUCGGGUGCCAACGCUGCAGCUUGAGAGAAUAAGGUGAUGCCUGUGCCUGGCUGGUUUUGUCUCUCCAAAGACAAAAACUAAAGCUGUUUGAGAAUAUUUCUAAUUGUUUCACACCAAAGAAAAAAACUGCUGCGCUCUUCAAAUUGAAGAUGCUGCAUCCAUCCAUCGACUUACCCAAUGCUGGAGCCCUUCAUCAUGUUGCUGAUGGAUCCGCUACCAACAUCAAUGAUCUAUCUACAAAUCAAUGUCACAGACGUUUGCCAUAUAGAAUAUUUUUUUAAUGUUUUCUCAUGUUGAAAAACCUAAGGUUUGUGCUAACCAUAAUAUGUACACAACCCACAA